rnacentral:rRNA from 1 species
AUCGAUGAAGAACGCAGCGAAAUGCGAUAAGUAAUGUGAAUUGCAGAAUUCAGUGAAUCAUCGAAUCUUUGAACGCACAUUGCGCCCCCUGGUAUUCCGGGGGGCAUGCCUGUUCGAGCGUCAUUUCAACCAAACCAGCCCCGCUGGGUGUUGGGCGUCGCGGUCCGCCGCGCGCCUCAAAGUCUUCGGCGGAAGCCGCCCGUUCCUCUGCGUGAUGCAUCGUCGUCGCUCGGGACACGGGGGUGAGCGCCCGGAAAUCGUCGGCGGAGACGCCGACUUCAAGGUUGACCUCGGAUCAGGUAGGGAUACCCGCUGAACUUAAGCAUAUCAAUAAGCGGAGGAAAAGAAACCAACAGGGAUUGCCCUAGUAACGGCGAGUGAAGCGGCAACAGCUCAAAUUUGAAAUCUGGCGCAAGCCCGAGUUGUAAUUUGUAGAGGAUGCUUCUGGGUAGCGGCCGGUCUAAGUUCCUUGGAACAGGACGUCACAGAGGGUGAGAAUCCCGUAUGUGAUCGGCGCGCGCCCUCUACGUAGCUCCUUCGACGAGUCGAGUUGUUUGGGAAUGCAGCUCUAAAUGGGAGGUAAAUUUCUUCUAAAGCUAAAUACUGGCCAGAGACCGAUAGCGCACAAGUAGAGUGAUCGAAAGAUGAAAAGCACUUUGGAAAGAGAGUUAAAAAGCACGUGAAAUUGUUGAAAGGGAAGCGCUUGCAACCAGACUUGCGGGUGGUGUUCCGCCGGGCUUCUGCCCGGUCUACUCACCGCCCGCAGGCCAUCAUCGUCUGGGGCCGCCGGAGAAACCGUCAGGAAUGUGGCUCCCUCGGGAGUGUUAUAGCCUGUCGACAUGCGGCGCGCCCCGGGCGAGGUCCGCGCACUGCAAGGAUGAUGGCGUAAUGGUUGNNNNNNNNNCGUCUUGAAACACGG